GAAAUGCGAUAAGUAAUGUGAAUUGCAGAAUUCAGUGAAUCAUCGAAUCUUUGAACGCAUCUUGCGCUCCUUGGUAUUCCGAGGAGCAUGCCUGUUUGAGUGUCAUGAAAUAAUCAAUCUCAUUCUGACUUUUUACAUAUAAAAAGUUAGCUUGAAUUGGAUCAAUGGGAGUCGUGCUGAUUUAUGAUCAGCUCUCCUUAAAUACAUUCAGCAAAAUUGUUACUGAUUAUCAUUAGUAUGAUAAUUAUUUGUACUAUUGACRUAUCAGUUCUCUAUUUUGCUACUAAUUGUCUUAUGUGAAGACGGUAUUCUUUUAAUUCUGACCUCAAAUCAGGUAGGAUUACCCGCUGAACUUAA
rnacentral:rRNA from 1 species